UACGUAGGGUACAAGCAUUAAUCGGAAUUAUUGGGCGUAAAGGGCGCGUAGGCGGAGAUGUAAGUCAGAUGUGAAAUACCAAGGCUCAACCUUGGUGCUGCAUUUGAAACUGCAACUCUAGAGGACAGACGGAGAAAGCGGAAUUCCACGAGUAGCGGUGAAAUGCGUAGAUACGUGGAGGAACACCGGUGGCGAAAGCGGCUUUCUAGUUUUUACCUGACGCUGAGGCGCGAGAGCAAGGGGAGCAAACAGG
rnacentral:rRNA from 1 species